rnacentral:rRNA from 1 species
GAUGAACGCUAGCGGCGGGCCUAAUACAUGCAAGUCGAGCGAACAGACGAGGAGGUUGCUCCUCUGACGUUAGCGGCGGACGGGUGAGUGACACGUGGAGAACCUACCUAGAAGACUGGGAUAAAUUCGGGAAAACGGAGCUAAUACCGGAUAAUAUAUUGAACCGCAUGGUUCAAUAGUGAAAGACGGUUUUCCUGUCACUGAUAGAUGGAUCCGCGCCGCAUUAGCUAGUUGGUAAGGUAACGGCUUACCAAGGCAACGAUGCGUAGCCGACCUGAGAGGGUGAUCGGCCACACUGGAACUGAGACACGGUCCAGACUCCUACGGGAGGCAGCAGUAGGGAAUCUUGCGCAAUGGGCGCAAGCCUGACGGAGCAACGCCGCGUGAGUGAUGAAGGUCUUCGGAUCGUAAAACUCUUUUAUUAGGGAAGAACAAAUGUGUAAGUAACUCUGCACGUCUUGACGGUACCCAAUCAGAAAGCCACGGCUAACUCCGUG